UUACCUGGUUUGAUCCUGCCAGUAGUCAUAUGCUUGUCUCAAAGAUUAAGCCAUGCAUGUCUAAGUACAGGCCGAAUUAAGGCGAAACCGCGAAUGGCUCAUUAAAUCAGUUAUGGUUCAUUGGAUCUUACCUUGUCCUACUUGGAUAACUGUGGUAAUUCUAGAGCUAAUACAUGCGAGCAAGCCCCGACCGGCGACGGGAAGGGCGCUUUUAUUAGAUCAAAACCAAUCGGGCUCUUCGGGGCCCGUACCCCAGUGGUGACUCUGAAUAACUUUGUGCUGAGCGCAUGGUCCUGGUACCGGCGCCGAAUCCUUCAAGUGUCUGCCUUAUCAGCUUUCGAUUGUAGGUUAUGCGCCUACAAUGGCUAUAACGGGUAACGGGGAAUCAGGGUUCGAUUCCGGAGAGGGAGCCUGAGAAACGGCUACCACAUCUAAGGAAGGCAGCAGGCACGCAAAUUACCCACUCCCGGCACGGGGAGGUAGUGACGAAAAAUAACGAUGCGGGACUCAUCCGAGGCCUCGCAAUCGGAAUGAGUACACUUUAAAUCCUUUAACGAGGAUCUAUUGGAGGGCAAGUCUGGUGCCAGCAGCCGCGGUAAUUCCAGCUCCAAUAGCGUAUAUUAAAGUUGCUGCGGUUAAAAAGCUCGUAGUUGGAUUCGAGUCACGGAGCGAGGGUUCACCGCCCGGUGCUUACUCUCCGCCAUCCGGACGUUGAUGUCGGCGUGGCACGGGGUGCUCUUCACCGAGUGUCCCGGCGCCGCCGACGAGUUUACUUUGAAAAAAUUAGAGUGCUCAGAGCAGGCCGUUCCUGACGCGCCUGAAUAGUUGUGCAUGGAAUAAUGGAAUAGGACCUCGGUUCUAUUUUCCGUUGGUUUUCGGAACCCGAGGUAAUGACUAAUAGGAACAGUCGGGGGCAUUCGUAUUGCGACGUUAGAGGUGAAAUUCUUGGAUCGUCGCAAGACGAACUACUGCGAAGGCAUUUGCCAAGAAUGUUUUCAUUAAUCAAGAACGAAAGUUAGAGGUUCGAAGGCGAUCAGAUACCGCCCUAGUUCUAACCAUAAACGAUGCCAACUAGCGAUCCGCCGGCGUUAUUCCCAUGACUCGGCGGGCAGCUUCCGGGAAACCAAAGUUUUUGGGUUCCGGGGGAAGUAUGGUUGCAAAGCUGAAACUUAAAGGAAUUGACGGAAGGGCACCACCAGGAGUGGAGCCUGCGGCUUAAUUUGACUCAACACGGGGAACCUCACCAGGCCCGGACACCGAAAGGAUUGACAGAUUGAGAGCUCUUUCUCGAUUCGGUGGGGUGGGUGGUGCAUGGCCGUUCUUAGUUGGUGGAGCGAAUUA
rnacentral:rRNA from 1 species